CGUAGGUGAACCUGCGGAGGGAUCAUUACUGAGUUUACGCUCUAUAACCCUUUGUGAACAUACCUAUAACUGUUGCUUCGGCGGGUAGGGUCUCCGCGACCCUCCCGGCCUCCCGCCUCCGGGCGGGUCGGCGCCCGCCGGAGGAUAACCAAACUCUGAUUUAACGACGUUUCUUCUGAGUGGUACAAGCAAAUAAUCAAAACUUUUAACAACGGAUCUCUUGGUUCUGGCAUCGAUGAAGAACGCAGCGAAAUGCGAUAAGUAAUGUGAAUUGCAGAAUUCAGUGAAUCAUCGAAUCUUUGAACGCACAUUGCGCCCGCCAGCAUUCUGGCGGGCAUGCCUGUUCGAGCGUCAUUUCAACCCUCAAGCUCUGCUUGGUGUUGGGGCCCUACAGCUGAUGUAGGCCCUCAAAGGUAGUGGCGGACCCUCCCGGAGCCUCCUUUGCGUAGUAACUUUACGUCUCGCACUGGGAUCCGGAGGGACUCUUGCCGUAAAACCCCCCAAUUUUCCAAAGGUUGACCUCGGAUCAGGUAGGAAUACCCGCUGAACUUAAGCAUAUCAAUAA
rnacentral:rRNA from 1 species